rnacentral:rRNA from 1 species
UUGGGACUCUUGAAGUCUUAGUGGCGCAGCUAACGCACUAAGUUGACCGCCUGGGGAGUACGGCCGCAAGGUUAAAACUCAAAUGAAUUGACGGGGGCCCGCACAAGCGGUGGAGCAUGUGGUUUAAUUCGACGCAACGCGAAGAACCUUACCUGGCCUUGACAUGCAGAGAACUUUCCAGAGAUGGAUUGGUGCCUUCGGGAACUCUGACACAGGUGCUGCAUGGCCGUCGUCAGCUCGUGUCGUGAGAUGUUGGGUUAAGUCCCGUAACGAGCGCAACCCCUAUCCCUAGUUGCUAGCAGUUCGGCUGAGAACUCUAGGGAGACUGCCGGUGACAAACCGGAGGAAGGUGGGGAUGACGUCAGGUCAUCAUGGCCCUUACGGCCAGGGCUACACACGUGCUACAAUGGUGCGUACAGAGGGCUGCAAACCCGCGAGGGGGAGCUAAUCUCACAAAACGCAUCGUAGUCCGGAUCGGAGUCUGCAACUCGACUCCGUGAAGUCGGAAUCGCUAGUAAUCGCGAAUCAGAAUGUCGCGGUGAAUACGUUCCCGGGCCUUGUACACACCGCCCGUCACACCAUGGGAGUGGAUUGCACCAGAAGUGGUUAGUCUAACCUUCGGGAGGACGAUCACCACGGUGUGGUUCAUGACUGGGGUG